GAUGAACGCUGGCGGCGUGCCUAAUACAUGCAAGUCGAGCGAACAGACGAGGAUCUUGCUCCUCUGACGUUAGCGGCGGACGGGUGAGUAACACGUGUAUAACCUACCUAUAAUACUGGUAUAACUUCGGAAAACCGGAGCUAAUACCGGAUAAUAUAUUGAACCGCAUGGUUCAAUAGUGAAAUACGGUUUUGCUGUCACUUAUAGAUGGAUCCGCGCCGCAUGAGCUAGUUGUUAAGGUAACGGCUUACCAAGGCGACGAUGCGUAGCCGACGUGCGAGGGUGAUCGGCCACACUGGAAGUGAGACACGGUCCAGACUCCUACGGGAGGCAGCAGUAGGGAACCUUCGGCAAUGGGCGAAAGCCUGACGGAGCAACGCCGCGUGAGUGAUGAAGGUCUUCGGAUCGUAAAACUCUGUUACUAGGGAAGAACAAAUGUGUAAGUAAAUAUGCACGUAUUGACGGUACCUAAUCAGAAAGCAACGGCUAACUACGUG
rnacentral:rRNA from 1 species